rnacentral:misc_RNA from 1 species
AUACAGCACGUGGGUUUUGAAGCGAUAAAGACCGAACCUAAACUAUCAUGGCAGAAACAGAGGUAAAGUUGGGGCCAGUGAUUAUCGAGGGCAAGACAAAAGUUGUGUACCAGGUAGCAGACGAUCCAGAACUUGUCUUGUUGAAAUCAAAGGACCGCAUUACCGCAGGAGAUGGGGACCGCUCACACGAACUGAAAGGGAAGGCAGCAAUCUCCACAGAUACCACAACAGCCAUUUUCCAGUUACUCAACAGUGCAGGGAUAAAAACCCACUUUGUGAGGCGAUGUGAUGAUACAUCUUUCAUUGGCUACAAGUGUGACAUGAUUCCCAUUGAGUGGGUCACAAGGAGGGUUGCCACGGGGUCAUUUUUGAAGAGGAAUCCAGGGGUCAAGGAAGGCUACAGGUUCUGUCCCCCCAAGCAGGAGACAUUCUUCAAGGAUGAUGCGAACCAUGACCCCCAGUGGUCCUAUGAGCAGUGCCUGGCCGCUAACAUAACUGUAGGGGGAGUUCUAAUUGGACGAGAUGAACUGGACAUCAUGAGCAGAACAACGGUCACAGUGUUUGAAAUCCUGGAGAGAAGCUGGGCCUCCCUCGACUGUAGCCUCAUUGACAUGAAGAUCGAGUUUGGAGUCAAGCCCAGCACAGGAGAGAUUGUGUUGGCUGAUGUGAUAGACAGUGACUCCUGGAGACUGUGGCCAUCAGGGGACAAGCGGCUCAUGAAGGACAAGCAGGUGUACCGGGAGCUAAGGGAGGUUACUCAGGAAGCACUGGACACAGUCAAAAGGAACUUUGAAUGGGUGGCAGAAAGGGUCAAGGUAAAAGUUUGAUGUACAAAUAGCAAUUAUGAAGGAGUGAGCUAAGAUGACGAAACAGCUAAUAAUUGCCCAUAAAUUCGAAUUUUAUUGGUGAAAAUACAAAGAAAAGAAAGGGUCAAUUUCCUACACAAAUGUAUAUUUAAUAGAUGCCUUAAAUUAUAUGGUUUUUGGUGGUGGUUUUUUUCCCAAUUUCUUUGAUUAACCAUUGCAGCUGCUUAUCCCUAAGCCAAAUGCUCGAGCUGUGGUAUUCAUGGGGUCUGCUUCAGACAUGCCUCAUUGUGAGAAAAUCCGAACAAGCUGUCAACAACUGGGUGUGCCUUGUGAGCUACGGGUGUCGUCUGCUCAUAAAGGGACUGAGGAAACCAUGAAAAUUUUAGCAGAGUAUGAAGGUGAGGGAAUACCCACUGUGUUUAUAGCAGUAGCUGGCAGAAGCAAUGGCCUGGGCCCAGUUCUCUCAGGAAAUGCCACCUGGCCUGUUAUCAACUGUCCACCUCUGUCCGGAGACUGGGGGUCACAUGACAUCUGGUCAUCUAUGAGACUGCCUUCAGGUCUGGGCUGUGCCACAGUCAUGUUUCCAGAGGCUGCAGCAUUGUGUGCCGCCCAGAUCCUGGCCCUCAAUGACCACGUUAUCUGGGGCAAUGUCCGGGCCAAACAACUCAACACUUGGAUAGGCCUGAAAGAAGCUGACAAGAAAUCAAGAAAUGACAAAUGAUUGUUCAUUGGAAAUUUGAUUUUCAUCAUCUUUGUGUUACAUUUGUUUUGUUUCAACCUGUUGUUAAACUACAUUUAUGACAUAGGAGUCAUUGCAUCUGAAUCGUGGUUUUACUGUUAAACACAUCAUUAAUCAUACAGUUACAUCUGAAUACUCAUACUUAUUGGUAACGACAAUGUAUUAAAUAUUUUGAGAGUGAU